CAGAGCCUCAAAGAGCACCCAGCAUAACUGUGGGAGAAUAGUAAGCAUUGGACACAAAAUGGUUUAGGCAAAUAAUGAUGAACAAAAAUGGUCAGUCUGUGUUCCUGCUGACCCAGCACAGUGGGGACGCUGUGUAGGACAUGACCUUUGGGGGAAAGGACACAAGAACUCAGCGUGGGGGAUCCAGAAAAGAAGUCGCACGUAUUGAAGCCAGUAACGCCAAGCCAGUGAAUUCUCCUUGACGAGAAAGACCCACUUACUCUGCAGAAGAGAUAUAUGACAGCUGACAAUCCCUGGAGGAGAAUCUUUCUACUAAAUUGUUGAAAACAUUCAAGUACGGAAUAAACUAUUACUGCGAAUACGCUCAUAUGACACAAGAACAAUCUCUGAGCUUCUUUGAGGAUGUCCAGAUGACUGCUGACUGCACUAAUUGCAUCAAUCGUGUAUCCAUACAGGUUCUUUCUAUAAAAUAGUGGUCGCUAGUUAUGAGGCGUUAAGCCUUCAUGGAUAUAAACAGACUAUUCCACCUAAGUGAUCUGGCAGAAGCUUAGUUUUCUACCACAACAUCCACCGUCCUCCCUCCCUCCCUUCCUAGCUGGUCAGAAAAGCUACUCAGAAUAAAGACUACAUUUCCCAGCCAUCUUUGCAGCUAGGUUUAUCCACCUGACUAAAUUCCACCGUAACUCCAGGUUGAAGAACUUCUACUUAUAGGCAUCUAUUCAACGAAGACGAAUCCUGGAAUGGGGAUGGAAAUGAUGGCUCAUGUCUUAGCAAACUACCAAACUGAUCCGAGAGGACAGGGAAGUCAGUGUGGGCGGCUCUAAGGAGCCUCCCUCUCUACAGCUGCGGCUCAGAGGAUUACGGCGCUUCAUCCACAAGGCAACAUUGCACAAGUAGCUUUUGAACAAAAGUCAUGGAUACUAUUAAUGAUAUGUUCCCACACACAUUUAGUGUCGUCUCAAAAUUCACGCUGUCAACUGUCUCUAGGAAUCAUUUCCAUCUGAGAACAGACCACACAAAGACACAGUGAAACUCAGUUUCUGCAGAAUUUGAUUUCAUUUGAGUUACUGGGGAACAAAGCAAUUAGACAAUGAAUAAUAGCUCAAGACAGGCUGAAGCUGAAGAUUUCUGCAAAAGAAUGAAGAGGAAACGUUUUGAUCCUGAGCAGAUGUUCUCCCUAGAUUGCUUCACCUGAGGUUGAUUGACUUUUGGAAACGAGAUUUGUUCCCAGUGCUUUGUGAGUCUCUUGUUGGAAGGACUGUCUUUAAAUUAAAGCAAUUAGAGUUACUUUAUAAGAUUUACCCAAAUAUAAGAGCUGAAGAGAAUAAUUCAAAUUGAUCAGAAGAAAAUACUCAAUUACUGACAAAUGUCAAUUACAUCAAUAGCCUAGGCUGCUCUUGAACUCCUGGGCUCAAACGAUCCUCC
rnacentral:lncRNA from 1 species